CCGUGGUGGCCGGGGCGAUGCUCGUCGCCGGGUGCGGCGGCAAGUCGGAGCCGCAGGCGAGUCCGUCGUUCGAGACGACGGUGACGGA
rnacentral:tRNA from 1 species